CUCAACAUAUUCAAUUUGUUACUUAGAACGCUUUAUGAAAAACAAUUGAAAACAUCUCAAAUUUGUUUUAAAAAAUAACUUGAUUCUAGAACAAAUUCUAAAAAAGACCUUUUUUUCUAUCAAAAGUUGGCGAGGUAAUAGUUUACCAAGGUGAUAAUCAGUAGCUGGUCCAAGAGGAUGAUUAGCCACACUAGGACUGAGACACGGCCCAAACUCUUACAAGAGGGAAGAGUGGGGAAUUUUUUGCAAUGGGAGAAAGCCUGAUGGAG
rnacentral:ncRNA from 1 species